UUUCAUUUCUUAAUUAUACGAUCAAAUUAACACACAUGAUUAGGCUUUUCAGCAAAAAGAUAAAUAAUUUUUUUUUUCCAGAUUAUUAUGGAAUUAGGACCUUUUGUCCAUACUUACAGAUUUAGGUGUUUUAAUUCAACUAGAAAGACGAAAUUGCCGUCCUCACAUAAACGAUCGAUUAUCUCUCUCUCUCUCUCUCUCUCGUCUCAAACAAAAAAAUUGGCUUGACCCAAUGUUCCUUAAGCUUACACAAAAUCAAACAAAAAUUGAGCUCAUGGGUUAAUCUGGAUGAAGAUCAUCACUACGGUCUCAGUUCUCGAUUUUGAUUCCGGAAAGAUGAGCACCACUACGACUUUUUUCAUUCAAGCUCCAAACCCUUCUUCAUGGAGAUCGUCACUCCCCCAUUUCCGAAUCUGCAAUUUUGGAUCUGCGGUUUCAAUUCUGACAAAGUUAUCAUCUGUGCAUGUCCGCCAUAGCUUCUAUUCGGGAAGAUCUGUGCCACCAUGAUGUCGUCAUUAGACGAUUGUGUUCAGCUUUGUAGUUUCUUUCCCAUCGUUUCCUCUGUACUAUUUGAAGUCAUCACUAUUGGAGUUUGAAUGCUAGAUUGUGGUGAUGUUGUAAACUGUCUCGUUUCAGAUAACUAAUGUGGAGUUUGUUAUCAUUACUUAAGCUAUAUCAAGUUCUGCUCAUUAUGAUAUUGUUCUUAGCUAAAUAAAAAGUGAAAUGCAGAUCACAAAAGUAACUAAAAAGUGAUAGAAGCCUCUUGCUACUAGUCUUCAUAUGGAAAACAAUUCCAAGAGAAUAAGAACACUAAACCAUUGUUCUAGGAGUGAAGCUUAUCAGCUCUUGAGCGAACAAAAUCUUACUCUAAGAGAUGAAGUUUGUUAAUUCGCUGCUUAUGCAGUCAAGGAAGCUGAUGCUAGAGUUAUAGGUGCAUAUGUGGAGUUACCAAAUAAGAUAGUAUGACAUCAAGUUCUUGGUCUGCAAUGCUUAUAUGUCUAUUUUAUUUCUAAUCAAAUUCAAUUCAGGUUUCAAAUAUUUAGGAACCCAUUUGGAUGAGCUAUCAUCGAAUUUUCUUGUGAGUUUUAUCAAGAGUUGUGCGUUAUACCUAAUUACUUGGGUUCUCCUAGUUCCUAUUUCUCCUAGGGUUUAGUUUUAAUUCUUGAAACAUAUAGAGUUAUGUUAUCUCGUCAUAUUGUACAUAAUUUUGUACAGAGUUUUAUAUAGUGUAAUUUAGUUUAUUUUAAGAUUUAAAAGUGGAAUAAAACUCAAUAAUGACAA